GAUGAACGCUGGCGGCGUGCCUAAUACAUGCAAGUCGAGCGAACAGACGAGGAGCUUGUUCCUCUGACGUUAGCGGCGGAGGGGAGAGUAACACGUGGAUAACCUACCUAUAAGAGUGGGAUAACUUCGGGAAAGCGGAGCUAAUACCGGAUAAUAUAUUGAACCGCAUGGUUCAUUAGUGAAAGACGGCUUUUGUGUCACUUAUCGAUGGAUCCGCGCUGGAUGAGCUGGUUGGUAAGGUAAAGGCUUACAACGGGUAGGAUGCGUAGCCGGCGUGAGUGAGUGAUCGCCCACCCUGGAGCGUGAACACGGUCCAUACGCCUGAGGGAGGCAGCAGUAGCGAACCUUCCGCAAUGGUGGGAAGCCUUACGCAGCAACGCCGCGUGAGUGAUGAAGAUCUUCGGAUCGUAAAACUCGGUUAUUAGGGAAGAACAAAUGUCGAAGGAACUAUGGAGGUCUUGACGGUACCGAGUCAGAAAGCAACGGCUAACUACGUG
rnacentral:rRNA from 1 species